rnacentral:rRNA from 1 species
AUGAGGAUCACCAAACAAUGCAACCUGCCACUUUCUUUGGGUAAGCAUUAUCGCUCAAAUGUGUUGUGUGAUGUGGUUGACAUGGAUGCCAGCCAUGUUCUUCUUGGGAGGCCUUGGCAAUUUGAUGUGGAUACUACACACAAGGGCAAGGAAAAUUCUUACUCUUUCAUUUGGAACAAGAGAAGGAUCAUUAUCUUACCAAACAAACCCGAAGGUAAUACCUCUAAGGAGGAGGGGAAAACUAUGUUAACUAUCUCCCAUACCUCUCAUGAGUUUAUGGAAGACUUGAAGGAGGCAGAUUUGUGUGCUGCACUUGUUGUAAAGGGAGAAGAGCACCUGACUGUUGAAAUUCCAACAAAGGUACGUGGUUUAUUGGCAGAAUUUCAGAACAUACUUGAGGAGCCACAUGGCUUGCCACCGAUGAGAGGAAUUCAACAUAGAAUUGACUUAAUUCCGGGAGCAAGUCUUCCUAAUCUUCCACACUAUCGAAUGAGCCCAAAGGAGCAUGGUAUAUUGAAGGAGAAAGUGGAGGAAUUGUUGCAAAAGGGGCACAUUCGAGAAAGUAUUAGCCCAUGUGCUGUACCAGCCCUACUCGCGCCAAAGAAAGAUGGAUCUUGGCGCAUGUGUACGGACAGUAGAGCCGUUAACAAGAUCACCAUAAGGUAUAGAUUCCCUAUUCCCCGUCUGGAUGAUAUGUUGGAUCAGCUUAGUGGAGCAAGAGUGUUCACAAAGCUAGAUUUAAGAAGUGGAUAUCAUCAAAUCCGUAUAAGACCCGGGGAUGAAUGGAAGACCGCCUUCAAGACAAAGGAAGGGUUGUUUGAAUGGCUAGUCAUGCCAUUUGGACUCUCAAAUGCACCAAGUACCUUUAUGCACUUAAUGAAUCAAGUCCUUAGACCCUUCUUAUCCCACUUUGUUGUGGUCUAUUUCGAUGACAUCUUGAUCUAUAGCAAGGAUGAGGAUGAACACUUUGAUCACAUUCGGAAGGUGCUAGAAGUACUAAGGGAAAAUGAGCUCUACGUCAACUUGAAGAAAUGUGUUUUCCUGCAAACACAACUUCUUUUCCUAGGAUUCGUCAUAACAUGUGACGGCAUUCGUGUUGAUGAUUCUAAGGUUGAAGCAAUCCGAGAAUGGCCAACUCCUAAGACCAUUUCUGAGGUAAGAAGCUUUCAUGGCCUUGCAACUUUCUAUAGGCGAUUUGUUAAGAAUUUCAGCACUAUCAUGGCACCAAUUACCGAGUGUUUGAAGAAAGGGAAGUUCCAAUGGGCAGAAGCAGCUGAAGCUAGCUUCAAUGAGAUUAAACAAAAGCUAUCACAAGCUCCUGUCUUGGUACUACCUGAUUUCAACAAGACUUUUGAGUUGGAGUGUGAUGCAAGUGGAGUAGGCAUUGGAGCUGUCCUAUCUCAAGAAAGGAAGCCCAUUGCUUUCUUUAGUGAGAAGUUAAGUGAAGCUAGACAGAAAUGGAGUACCCAUCAGCAAGAAUUAUACGCCGUUUUCAGAGCGUUGAAAACUUGGGAAGUCUAUUUGCUGCCUAAAGAGUUCAUUGUUUAUAGUGACCAUCAAUCCUUGAAGCAUUUUAGAAAUCAAAAGCAUGUUGACCGCAUGCUAGCAAGAUGGGCAGCAUAUCUUGAGAGGUUUAACUAUCUCAUCGUGCAUAAAUCUGGAAUAACUAACAGAGUGGCCGAUGCUUUGAGUCGUCGUGCAUGCCUCUUGACUUCUUUUGAAGCUGAACUUCCGGGCAUGGGUCAAAUAAAGGAGUUGUAUGAGGGUGACGAAGACUUUGGCCAUGUUUGGGUAAAGCACGCAAGGGGCCAACCAUUAGGUGAUGACUAUUUGAUGCAAGAUGGAUAUCUCUUCAAAAAUGAUCGUUUGUGCAUUCCAAGAAGUUCUUUACGUGACAAGCUGGUUAGAGAGCUCCAUUCAAGUGAUCUUAGUGGCCAUGUUGGACGGGACAAGACUAUCGCUAACCUGGAAGCUCGCUACUUUUGGCCACAACUAAAGAGAGAUGCUGGAAAGUUCGUUCAACGGCGCCCCGUAUGUCAGACCUGCAAAGGCCAAGUCCAGAACACAGGGUUAUACAUGCCUUUGCCUGUUCCUGUUGCUCCACGGGAGGACAUUUCUAUGGACUUCGUCUUGGGCUUGCCAAGAACAAGACGAGGAAGUGAUGCUGUAUUUGUGGUCGUGGAUAGAUUCUCUAAGAUGGCUCAUUUCAUCCCAUGCCGCAAGACAACGGAUGCUCAUCAUGUGGCAAACCUAUUCUUUCGAGAAGUGGUCAGACUUCAUGGAGUUCCAAGGUCCAUUGUCUCAGACCGUGAUAGCAAGUUUCUUGCUGCAUUUUGGCUCACUUUGUGGAAGCAAUUCAACACUGAAUUGAAAUUUUCUAGCACUGCUCAUCCACAAACAAAUGGACAAACGGAAGUGGUGAACAAGUUUUUGGGUAAUCUGAUCCGUUGCAUUUGUGGAGAAAGAAAGGGGCAAUGGGAUUUGGCUUUAUCUCUUGCAGAGUUCUCCUACAAUAACUCCAAGCAUAGAUCCACAGGAAGGAGCCCUUUUUCCAUUGUCUACACUAAAGUUCCAACACAUGUGGUGGACCUGGUGAAGCUGCCAUCAAGGGGAAACUCAAAAUCAGCAUUGUCCUUUGCUGAUAAUUACACCGAGUUAUUUGAAGAGAUUCGCGGCGCUUUGGAAGCACAAAAUCAGAAAUAUAAACAACUUGUUGAUUGCAAAAAGAGGCCAAAAUCAUUCCAAGUCGGUGAUAAGGUGAUGGUCUACCUCUGA